rnacentral:lncRNA from 1 species
GAUGGUACAUCGCCAGUAAUGUUGGUGCUUUAUGUCAACAUUCUUUCUUUUGUUUUUCUUUUUUCUUGAGGGGCAUUUUCUACCCCCCAUUCGAUAGAUUUAGACAGACAUCCAUUGACCUUAUGGUUUCUGUGCUAUUAAUGUCGGAAAGCAUAGAAAAUAUACUUAGAGCUGCAAAUAUGUGAGAUGGAUGUUGAUAGUUUCUCUGCUGCUUGAGGGUGUAGAUUAGAAGACAUUAUGUACACUUCAUUACUAUCUAUUGGCAAUACAGUAUGACUUUAGAUGCAGG